GACGAACGCUGGAGGCGUGCUUAACACAUGCAAGUCGAACGAUGAAAUGGAGCUUGCUCCAUGGAUUAGUGGCGAACGGGUGAGUAACACGUGAAUAACCUGCCCUUAAUUUUGGAAUAACCCAGGGAAACCUGGGCUAAUACCGGAUAAGUAAACCUGUGGCAUCACAUGGUUUUGGAAAGUUUUUCGAUUAAGGAUGGAUUCGCGGCCUAUCAGCUUGUUGGGGAGGUAAUGGCUCACCAAGGCGACGACGGGUAGCCGGCCUGAGAGGGUGAACGGCCACACGGGGACUGAGACACGGCCCAGACGCCUGCGGGAGGCAGCAUUGGGGAAGAUUGCACAAUGGGCGCAAGCGUGAUGCAGCAACGCCGCGUGAGGGAUGUCGGCCUUCGGGUUGUAAACCUCUUUUAGCAGGGAAGAAGCGAAAGUGACGGUACCUGCAGAAAAAGCACCGGCUAACUACGUGCCAGCAGCCGCCGCCG
rnacentral:rRNA from 1 species